CAAGACUGUCCGGUCACAGGAGUGACCAAAACAAACUUGAGAGAUUGCUCAACUCUGGACACACACACGAGGACGAUACAGUAAAAACACUCAGAGAAAAAACUGCACUCAUCACACACUGUAUUGAUUACGACCACCGCUUCGACCUCACCAAACCUACAAUAAUCGACGAAACACAGAAGAAGACCAUACUACCGUUCCUGGAGAUGGUAUGGAUACACAACCAAGAAACAAGUAUUAACAAACGAACAGAUACAGAAGGACUAAAUACGAAUUACUCUGAAAUUAUAAACAAAAUACAUACACUGAUGACACGCAGAAACACAAUAUUACAAAGUAACAGACAGUAAGCAGUACAGAUUAUAAAUAGUGAAAUAGUGAGGACAAAUAGGCGAAAAUUACCCAAAUGACACUGAUACGGAACCUAAUACCCAAAGACGGAUUUAUGUUAAGACAGACAAUUUUGACAAAAAACAGACCACUAGUAAGUUAACGAACAUACAAAAUUAUGAACAAUUAUAAUACACCUAAUUUUUAUAGUUCUCCCAUUGAAGAAGGCAAAAUACAAUUGCCGAAACGUCGGACAGUAGUAAAACCCUGUUUUAACUCUGGAAUUAAGACUGCAUGCCAAGAAAAUCCCGAAAUAUCUAAAUUACAGUCGAUCCAUCAUCAUAU